GCUUGUCUCAAAGAUUAAGCCAUGCAUGUCUAAGUAUAAACAACUUUGUACUGUGAAACUGCGAAUGGCUCAUUAAAUCAGUUAUAGUUUAUUUGAUGGUGCUUACUACAUGGAUAACCGUGGUAAUUCUAGCUAAUACAUGCACAAAAUCCCGACUUACGAAGGGAUGUAUUUAUUAGAUACAAACCAACAUCGUGGUGAUUCAUAAUAACUUUGCGAAUCGUAUGCCUCACGGCGACGAUGAAUCAUUCAAAUUUCUGCCCUAUCAGCUUUGGAUGGUAGGGUAUUGGCCUACCAUGGCUUUAACGGGUAACGGAGAAUUAGGGUUCGAUUCCGGAGAGGGAGCCUGAGAAACGGCUACCACAUCCAAGGAAGGCAGCAGG
rnacentral:rRNA from 1 species